rnacentral:lncRNA from 1 species
ACCUGCUGAGUGGACACCUGGAUGUCUGCAAGUGAGGACCACUGAUUUGUCGCCUCGAAGGCUGGAUUUCUGCCGGUGAAGUGAUGUGUCUGCAACUCAUCGUAGUACAUCCUACGAGUGAAGAUGGGUGCUGCUGUGUGAUUUUAGAAGCCUGGAUGUGCCUUGAAGAAAUGCUGAAGGAGUCGGUGGCUUCUGCAGUUCAACCAGAUGAAGAGCACCCCGAAGCAUCUGCGCAUCAUCGCCUCUGCCUGUCAGCGUGGUGUACAGUAAUUGUUUUAAUGUUCUCUCUCAGACCGCACCAACAGUCUAUUGCAGAUGUGAGGCCUGCGUGUCGUCAGAUGUCGAUGCAGAACUGCAGUCUGGACCUGUGAGACGGCUAGAGUUGUCCUGGCAUCCCGUCAGCAGGAGGUGUUCUGGUAAAGGCUAAGGAGAAGGAGAUGACGGAGCGUCACAGUGGUGUCAGCCUAACAGAAAUGGUGGAA